GAAAAUUCCACAUUGCUUCAACAAUUUCACCUUAUUGUAUCAAGAUAAUAAUUCUGGUGAGCCAAUGGAAUUUAUAGUUCAAGGUUUCUAUGGUAAAUUUCCUCGUCGUUACUUGUAUAUUGGUGACCUAUUGGUUCAAUGGAAAAAUCAAGAGUCUGAGUACAAGAAUCCUUUAUUAUAUCUGAAGACUAUUGAUCUUUCAAGUAAUGAAUUAAUUGGAGGUGUUCCUAAAGAAAUAGCUGAUAUGAGAGGAUUGAAAUCUUUGAACCUCUCAAGAAAUGAGCUGAAUGGAACUGUCAUUGAAGGAAUAGGUCAAAU
rnacentral:misc_RNA from 1 species